rnacentral:ncRNA from 2 species
AUAAAUCUUCGGGGUUUGGUGUAAUUCCAUACCGGCGGUACAGCCCGCGAGCUAAUUAGCAUGAUUUGGUGAAAUUCCAAAGCCGACAGUAAAGUCUGGAUGAGAGAAGAUUAUU